rnacentral:rRNA from 1 species
UACGAAGGGAGCUAGCGUUGUUCGGAAUUACUGGGCGUAAAGCGCGUGUAGGCGGGUCUUUAAGUCAGGGGUGAAAUGCCAAGGCUCAACCUUGGAACUGCCUUUGAUACUGGAGACCUUGAGUCCGGGAGAGGUGAGUGGAAUUGCGAGUGUAGAGGUGAAAUUCGUAGAUAUUCGCAAGAACACCAGUGGCGAAGGCGGCUCACUGGCCCGGAACUGACGCUGAGAUGCGAAAGCGUGGGGAGCAAACAGG